GGCGUCCGUCCGAGCAAGGGAUGAGGCCCAUGACGGCGACCACGGACCAGUGUGACACUGCCGAGCACCGUCCUCACCGCAGUACAUAGCUGUUGAGCUGUCGAGCCCCACCUCUUCUGGAUCUAUCUGGCGAGCAGCAGGACACCGCCAAUCUCCACGGCCAGGAACCCGCAAGGUAGAGAGUGAAGGGGAAGAGGGAGACGGGCAGACGGCGGUGGGAUCCGUGCUCGCUUGUGCCACCAUGGACCUCGAGUUGCUUCGCUUCUCAUCUCCUCACCACGUGCCGCUGUUCUUCUUUCUUUCCCUAGAGCGGGACGAAGGGUUGAGCAGGGGUAGAACGCUACCAAAUUUUGGGGAAAACCGAGAGCGGGACAAAGGGGCUGCAUGCUUGUUGCCACGGACAGGCCAAUAUUCCGCUUUGAUCCCCAGCCUGAAUACCAUGACCUGCCAACAACAACAUUUGGGUAUCCCAAUGCCAAUGUCUAAUGGUGGGCCUCAUCAUCAACCUCCAAACGGUGUGUUAUCAAAAGACACUUGUAUUAUGGUGAGCUUGUAAUUAGCUUCACAAGAAGCACCUUCUGGAUUCUAUUGUUGAUAGGUUUGAUAAAAAAAUUCAACAAGAGAACUUGACCAUCGCAGAAUAUCACAUGAGCAUGCACAUAGCAGACAGGUAAUAUGUGAGCACGGCAGGUAAUAUGUGAAGUAAUAUGUUCAUAGGAGUUCAAAAUAGGCAAGACAUAAUAUGUUCAAAGGAGUACAUUAUAUCAGUAGAACAGAUGAAUCUCCUGACAUUGUGCUUUAUUUCGCCAUGAUACAACACUUGCUGUUUUGUUCUUCCCCUGCCCUUGAUGCCUGCCUUUGCUGCAAUGCAUAGUAAUUAGUUUAUGUAUAUGAUCAAAUUAUCUAGGAGAAAAUUUAUAGUAUGCAAUGAUUUAAGGUGCAUUCUGACCGUCUUUUUUACUUGGUAGGUUUUCUUUUCUGUGAUAUAAGAGACUGUAUUGUCACUACUUAUUAUUCUUUGAUAAUUGGUUGGGCUACUACUACACUGAAGGUAUAAAACAGGAAGCAUCACCACAGCUAGCAUAGGAUACGAGUAAAAUCCUGAUUGCACAGGAGAGUUGGUCUAUAUACUCCCUCCUUUCCGGUUUAUUAGGCCUCCAAAGCUCAAUAGCUUUGCAUAUUUGUUAGGCCUAAGAGUUUUGCAUAUUUGUGCCUGUACCAGAUUGCCAGGAAAAGCUAAAACAACGAGUACUUUUUUUUUGCUGUAACUGAAAAUCUUAGCACAUAUCAACAGGCAUUGGAAAUUUGCUUACGCAAUCUUAGCACACAUGAGCAGACUUAUAUGAGCAUUAACAUUUUGUAUAAUACUAAAUUGCCUGUUCUGCUGUGAGAAACUGUCCAUACUUGCAGUUCACAAGUACAGUACUACUCCCGCCGGUGCAAAUUAGUUGACUCAGAUUUGUUAGAUACGAAUAUAUCUAGACAUGUUUUAGUGUUAGAUACAUCCGUAUCUAGAUAAAUUCAAAUCAACUAAUUUGGAACGGAGGGAGUACUUAAUUCGCUAGUAAAAUCUCUCUAAUCCAGCACAACAAAUACAGUACUACCUACUUAAUUCGCGUAAAAUCCCUCUAAUUCAGCACGACUACUUUAUUCCCACCCAAUUUUGCAGUUAACCAAUACAGCACUACUUAAUUCGCUAGUAAAAGCCCUUUAAUUUCUAACAACUUGGCGCAGUCAGCGCUCCCGUCCAUAUCUGCCAUUGGAUUACUAUAAAUCUUGCUCUAAUAAUUGCGUCAGAACCCCGUCCAAAAUCGUCCAAAUCACCAGUCAAUCUGCCCUAAUUUCGGGAUCUGCAGUCAAUCUGAGCUAAUUUUGGAAGGGUGAACGGAACCGGAUUCUGUACCUGAGUUGUUUAAUCGCGGCCCCUACGCGCGGCCUCCAGCUCCAACUCCCGCGCCCUCUGGGCCGCCAGCUCACGAGCCUUCGCCGCCUGGGCCGCCUUCUUCGCUUCCUCGCAUUUCCUGGUAUGCUCCGUGCCAGCGGCCAACCCCUCGAUUUCCUCUCCGCACGCGCAGGUGUACC
rnacentral:lncRNA from 1 species